GUGCCAGCAGCCGCGGUAAUACAGGGGGGGCGAGCGUUGUUCGGAAUUACUGGGCGUAAAGGGUUCGUAGGUGGCUAGCUAAGUCAGACGUGAAAUCCCUCAGCUUAACUGGGGAACUGCGUCUGAUACUGGUCGGCUUGAGUGCAGGAGAGGAACGCGGAAUUCCAGGUGUAGCGGUGAAAUGCGUAGAUAUCUGGAGGAACACCGGUGGCGAAGGCGGCGUUCUGGACUGCAACUGACACUGAGGAACGAAAGCCAGGGGAGCAAACGGGAUUAGAUACCCUCGUAGUCC
rnacentral:rRNA from 1 species